UAGGGAAUCUUCCGCAAUGGGCGAAAGCUUGACGGAGCAACGCCGCGUGAGUGAUGAAGGUCUUCGGAUCGUAAAACUCUGUUAUUAGGGAAGAACAAAUGUGUAAGUAACUAUGCACGUCUUGACGGUACCUAAUCAGAAAGCCACGCCUAACUACGUGCCAGCAGCCGCGGUAAUACGUAGGUGGCAAGCGUUAUCCGGAAUUAUUGGGCGUAAAGCGCGCGUAGGCGGUUUUUUAAGUCUGAUGUGAAAGCCCACGGCUCAACCGUGGAGGGUCAUUGGAAACUGGAAAACUUGAGUGCAGAAGAGGAAAGUGGAAUUCCAUGUGUAGCGGUGAAAUGCGCAGAGAUAUGGAGGAACACCAGUGGCGAAGGCGACUUUCUGGUCUGUAACUGACGCUGAUGUGCGAAAGCGUGGGGAUCAAACAGG
rnacentral:rRNA from 1 species